rnacentral:rRNA from 1 species
CCUACGGGUGGCAGCAGUGGGGAAUAUUGGUCAAUGGGGGCAACCCUGAUCCAGCGACGCCGCGUGAAUGAUGAAGUCCUUCGGUAUGUAAAGCUCUUUUUGCAUGGAAGUAAAUGACGGUAUCUGACUAAGAAUCCCCGGCUAAAUACGUGCCAGCAGCCGCGGUAAUACGUCGGGGGCAAGCGUUAUCCGGAUUUACUGGGUGUAAAGGGUGCGUAGUGGGUGCAGGAAGUUCGAUGUGAAAGUUCGGGGCCCAACCCCGAGACUGCAUUGGAAACUGGUGAACUUGAGUACAGGAGAGGUAAGCGGAAGUCCUAGUGUAGCGGUGAAAUGCGUAGAUAUUAGGAGGAACACCAAUGGCGAAGGCAGCUUGCUGGACUGUAACUGACGUUGAGGCUCGAAAGCGUGGGGAGCAAACAGGAUUAGAUACCCUUGUAGUC